UGCCCUGUAGUGUAAUGGUAGCACGACUGGCUCUGGACCAGUUAAUCAUGGUUCGAAUCCAUGCGGGGCAGCCA
rnacentral:tRNA from 1 species